CUCCUUAUAUCUCUCAGAACUAUCAAGACAUUGCAAAGAACAGACAUGCGCUUGAGAGAGAUGAUGGAGGAGGAAGAUUAUUGUGGUGCUAUACAGCUGUGUCUGGAAUGUCAGAAGGCAGCACUUACACUCAGACAUUACAAAUGUAUCAG